UCUAGAAAUUGGAGCCCGGGUUUGCAGUCUUGGCCAGAACGCUAGAGGUUGCCCACAUCAGACAAGCGCCUUCAUUUCUCAGAGACCUCCUUUGCUCACAUAACACGAUAGGGUUGGGCCACGUGAUGUCUCUCGCCCUGUCCUGCUCUGAAAUCACUUGAGGCCUCCAACUUCUGUCUAGGAUUUCCUUUCUGCCUUGGAGCAGCAGCAGUCUCUUCGGUGGAACUCUUUCGCCACCUAGUGGCCAAACGAGAAACCUUCACCUUACCUUGCCUUCUGCACUCCUUGAGUGCAGCAGAAAGAACAAAAGCCGGUUUGGCCUUUCCUCUGCAAGAACGCAGCAAGCUGCCAGAGCUGGAAGGAACACAUGUUUAAUGCAUAUCUUGGAAGCUCCGCUGGGUGAACAAACAAAGCGCCACUUCCUACGUGCCUCAUAUCUGCUCACUACGAGCUUUGAAAGUAUUAGGAAUUUACAAGUCUUGCAUUUAGGAGAAGCCCCACAGCCUGGAGAGUCACCCUAAAUCCAUGUCCACAGGAAGCUGACGUGCAUCAUCAUGCCUCCCUGGGCCUAAUUCACCAGCCAUCUGGAUCUUGUCAGAAAUGAUGAUCAGAGGAGCGGUCCUGCCAUAGAGAGAGGCGCAGUUCAAUCAGAGUCAGACCAAAUACGGAAAUGAGUGAAUGAAACUGAAAAAGGCAAAGAAGCCAAGCUGUAUUAUUGAUCAACUAAAUCAGUGAUCUUUGAACUGCAGGGUCUUCAGCUUAGUUGUGGCCAUGGUUAUGCCAACUUUCCUAGCAAUCAUGACAUACCCAGGAGAAUAUGCCUUUAGUAAAGGUUUUCCUUCAGUGCUGUCUAGAAAAGAAAACAAACACCACUCAAAAUGGCUAGUGGAACAUUCCAUUCCUAUCUUGUUGGUGUGAAAUAUCACCGUGCUGCAAAGUGGCUUUGGUUAUUGCAUGUUUGAACAGUAGCUUUGUGUGUUGAUUGUCUCAGCCAGACAGAGAUGUCACUGAAGGAUGUUCCUGAGGGCAGAACCAUCACUAAAAACAUCUGUAUUGAGACAAGGGGGAAAGGAUCUCAAGACACACUUUUUGACCAUUCACUGUUUGCUAUGAUGCUAUUGAUACUAUCCAAGACAUGGGAAUCCUUAAGCGUCAUUAGUGGAUGAAUUCAUAGGAAAACUAUGGCAUAGACAGAUGGCAUCAUUUGGAUGUGAAAUAUACCCACCAGGUUCAUGCAUUUGCAUUUUACUCCUCAGUUGGUGGUGCUGUUUGGGGGUUGUGGAAACUUUGCCACUGUGCCCAUCUGAAAGGAGGUCUCUGGGGGGUAAGACCAGAAGUCGAUUCCACUCGUGGUUCCUGCCUGAGGGCUCAACUCUUCUUGACUCACCCACAGACAAGAAACUGUCCUGUAAGCCGUGUCCCCAAGGAUGGAGGUACUUCAGACACCAUGGCUUCCACAUCACUGGAGCCAAAUGAACGUCUCUACCCUGAAGAUGGUUCUGUCACACUUCUGUCACAGCGAUGAGAAAACUGAGAUGACAGAUAGAUAUGAUUGACAGAUGGUUUGCACUCUACAAAAGGAGUCACCUGUUUGAUGCAACACUGAUGAUCCUGUACGAUUUUGUGCUAACAAUAAUGCCUCCCAACACCACAUGCAUGUGGAAUCUCUAUUAAAAAAAUCAAACGUUAAAAUGGAGAGGAGGGUGGUUGGUGACCACUGAUAGGAAAAGUGAAGAAAUGGAGUUUACCAAAGAGGAACAGACUUACGUACAAUGAUAAUUCUAGAAAACUACAAUCACUAAUAUCGAAAACUUGUUAAUACAGUUGAUUUCAGGUGCUUUUACAGGUAUGUGGGGGAGGAGAGCAAGAGAGAGCAAGUGAGAGAGAAUGGAAAUUUAAGUACUAGCUAUAUUAACUUGAUUGUAUAUUAUAGUCAUUUUUCUAUGUAUGAAUAAACCAGUCUACUUAUACCUCAAUUAUAUACAGUAAAGAUCAAACUGAAAUAAAAUAAACACAUUCGGAAUUUAGAAGACCCGAUAUAUACACAUGUACAUAUACCUUUGGGAGGCUGUAGUGUGCCUGAGAGUUAGGACAUGGAUUCUAAGACAAUCCCUUUGUGUUCAGAUUAUGCCUUGUCUACUUUCUAGCUCAGCAACCUUAAGUGAAUUAAUCAACACCUCUGAAGUUUUUAUUCUUCUAUGAUAUUGGCCUAAUAGGGUUAUUUUGAGCACAAGUAAGUAAAUAUGUGUAGGCACACACACACACAAACACACAAAUAUGUGAGCACGCACACACGGACACACACGUGCACACAAACACACACAUGCACGCACACACAUUCACACAGACAUGCACGCAAACACAUGCACACACACACACAGAGUGUCCGUGGUUGCAAUAGUUUCUAAUAAAUUAAGUAACGUGAAAGAGCGGGCUAUUAGCAUAAAGGAAAUUCAGUAAAUGCGUGCUUCAUGUGUGUCAGUAAGAAAAAAAGAUACAGGAGACACCCUGGAAUCUUGUUCAUAUGUGUCAGUAAGGAAAAAAAGAUACAGGAGACACCCUGGAAUCUUGUUCAUAUGUGUCAGUAAGGAAAAAAGAUACAGGAGACACCCUGGAAUCUUGUUCAUAUGUGUCAGUAAGGAAAAAAGAUACAGGAGACACCCUGGAAUCUUGUUCAUAUGUGUCAGUAAGGAAAAAAGAUACAGGAGACACCCUGGAAUCUUGUUCAUAUGUGUCAGUAAGGAAAAAAAGAUACAGGAGACACCCUGGAAUCUUGCAGUGAAAAGUGCAUAAUUUUAGAGUCACUACAAAUAUUACAAAUAUUACAAGCCAUGGGAAGGCUCAGUCACUUAAUUAUUCAGGGGCCCACUUUUUCUCUAGGAAAAGAAAUCCAAAUCACACCCUGGAAAAACCGUCACCUUGGCUGAGGACACAUAGGGUGGCUCUUGGCUGGAUGAGGAUCAAAGCUCAGCUCCCGGGCUCCAAGCCCACAGGGAACAACAGGGACAGCAAAGGCAGGCAGGAUUGUCGUUAAUUUCUCAAGAGCUGCAGCAAUCAGGAGGUUCACUAGUGUGCUGAAGCCUGCCUUUCCUUUAGAGAAUUCGCUGUGUGUGCGCCCUUAAGGAUCCGAAACUCCUUCAGUGUCUUAGUGGGGAGACAGAACCCAUGACCUGUCUCUGAGGAAGAAGAAAAACCCACACAAGCUUCUUUAAUCACAACAAAGAGUGACUAAGCCAGCAGCAGCGUGGGCUACCCGUGGAGUCUCAAAAUAUUAGCGUUUGGACUUGGCCAUUCCUCUCCCCCUGCAGGACAUUUAAAGAUGCCACACACCAUCGCCAUCCGUAUUUAUAACGCUCCCAGCAGGGAGCCCGAUUCUGAAUGGCAAACUGAAGGGACUCCCGGCCCUCUCUGAGGUCCUGAGACAUGGGCAGAAGAGGGCAGGAGGACCUGUCCAUCCCCUACUGGAGACCCAGUAACGUGGCCAGACUGGGAGCUGAGGACCAGGGAGAGGCUUCCGUAAUUCUUCAACACCAGGCUGGGGACUACGUGUGUCGUUUCUCAUCCUCGUCUUGACCUGGCUGGAGUUUCAGGCUCUGAAGUAAUUCCUUUUUCUGUGUGCUCGGCACGUUUCAGACCGCAGGAUGGUGAAGAUGCCAGAGCUGCCAAGAAGAGCCGCACGUAGGGGCUGGAACCAGAUUGAGAGAGAGGUGUAUGACGCGGGCACCGAAGUUGGAGAUGAAGCCAUCCUAGCCGGUUGGCACCAAAGCCUCAGAUACCAGACAGUGGACUUGCAGGAUCUGAAGAUUGCCCUGCUGGAUCUCGGUCUUGCUUUGGUCCGGUAUUUCCUCACUGUGCCCCAAUUCCUCCUUUUUGUAAUGGCAAUGGGCAUUCUGUGACGCUGUAUGUUGGAAGUGUGUAUUUGUUGUUGUUGUAUGGGGCUAUGGUAUAAGAUUUCACAGAGUCUCAGAAGACAUUCUGGACUUUGAAUGUCUCAGCCAUGUUGAGACUAAGGAAGUCUUUGGGGACCUUUGCAUUCUGCGUCGUGAAAUGGCCACAAGCUUAUGGGCUUGGAUGAGAGACGGCCUCCAAAGGCCAAUGUGUCUGCUGCAUACUUACUCUUCCGCUGAUGGCUCUGUCUGGGGAGAUUGUGGAACUUUCAGGACGUGGGGUCUUCCUGGAGGAAGCGGGCUUUGAGAGGCUAUAGCCUGGCUUGUAGUCCACCUCUGCCUUUGCACACGCUUAGAGAUGUGAGCUGUCAGCGGCUUGCUCUCGCCGCCUGCUUCCGUGCCUCCCCCGCCAUGAUGGACCCUCUCUUUGGAACUGUAAGCCAAAAUAAACUCUUCCUUCCUUAAGUUGCUUUUGGUCGUGGUGUUUUGCCACAGCCACAAAGGCCGUUAAUUUGGGUUUGAUCCCAGCACCUUUGAAAGCGGGAUGUGAUGACACACGCCUCUAACCCUAGCAUUUUGGGUAGGCAGGCAAGAGAAUCAGAAGUUCAAGGCUGUUGUCAACCUAGAAUGCCAAGUAACCUGUGACUGCCUACGUGAUCCUAACAACGUUUCCUCUUCAGUCCAUUUCCCACACUACUACUAAGCUCUCUAGGGGAUGCUGCGGAUGCUAAACAGAAAGGGCGUGGCUCCGCAGCUCCGGAGGGACCUGGAGCUCUGUUAGCCAAUAAGCAGCCACGAGUGAUAAAUGGGAGCUCGCAAGCCAGCCUAGGCUUCCUGGGGUGGGGAGUGAAACGCUGGUUGGUUUCCAGAACCUAGGUAGGGUCCUCAGUUCUGAGGGUGGGGAGGCGUUCCAGAUGCGGGCACAGAGGGAUGAGGAGUGUGCCCCUGAGGUGAGACAGUGCUUGGAACUGUCUUGAGUGCCAGACCUGUGUUCUGUAGGAUUUGAUUCAAGGGGGCGUUUGAAUCAAAUGCAUAACAGGAGAGUCUGUCAUAUGUAUUUGAUGUUUUCCUUCCUAAGUCAGGUCUUCAGAAUCCUGGGGAACUGGCCUCAGAGACCAUUGUCUCCGGACUGCUAUUCCAAUAAAAAUGUUCCGUGCCACAUUACAAAA